rnacentral:rRNA from 1 species
UAAGGAAUAUUGGUCAAUGGACGCAAGUCUGAACCAGCCAUGCCGCGUGAAGGAUGAAGGUCCUCUGGAUUGUAAACUUCUUUUAUCUGGGACGAAAACGGGAUUUUUAUCUCAAUUGACGGUACCAGAGGAAUAAGCACCGGCUAACCCCGUGCCAGCAGCCGCGGUAAUACGGAGGGUGCGAGCGUUAUCCGGAUUUACUGGGUUUAAAGGGUGCGUAGGUGGGCUUAUAAGUCAGUGGUGAAAUCUCCGAGCUUAACUUGGAAACUGCCGUUGAUACUAUAUGUCUUGAAUUAUCUGGAGGUAAGCGGAAUAUGUCAUGUAGCGGUGAAAUGCGUAGAUAUGACAUAGAACACCAAUUGCGAAGGCAGCUUACUACAUAUAAAUUGACGCUGAGGCACGAAAGCGUGGGGAUCAAACA